AGUGAACGCUGGCGGUAGGCCUAACACAUGCAAGUCGAACGGCAGCACAGUAAGAGCUUGCUCUUACGGGUGGCGAGUGGCGGACGGGUGAGGAAUACAUCGGAAUCUACUUUUUCGUGGGGGAUAACGUAGGGAAACUUACGCUAAUACCGCAUACGACCUACGGGUGAAAGCAGGGGAUCUUCGGACCUUGCGCAAUUGAAUGAGCCGAUGUCGGAUUAGCUAGUUGGCGGGGUAAAGGCCCACCAAGGCGACGAUCCGUAGCUGGUCUGAGAGGAUGAUCAGCCACACUGGAACUGAGACACGGUCCAGACUCCUACGGGAGGCAGCAGUGGGGAAUAUUGGACAAUGGGCGCAAGCCUGAUCCAGCCAUACCGCGUGGGCGAAGAAGGCCUUCGGGUUGUAAAGCCCUUUUGUUGGGAAAGAAAAGCAGCAGGUUAAUACCCCGCUGUUCUGACGGUACCCAAAGAAUAAGCACCGGCUAACUUCGUG
rnacentral:rRNA from 1 species